rnacentral:rRNA from 1 species
UACGGAGGAUCCGAGCGUUAUCCGGAUUCAUUGGGUUUAAAGGGUGCGUAGGUUGUUUUAUAAGUUAGCGGUGAAAUCCCGAGGCUCAACUUCGGAAUUGCCUCUGAUACUGUUCGGCUAGAGAGUAGUUGCGGUAGGCGGAAUGUAUGGUGUAGCGGUGAAAUGCUUAGAGAUCAUACAGAACACCGAUUGCGAAGGCAGCUUACCAAGCUACUUCUGACGUUGAGGCACGAAAGCGUGGGGAGCAAACAGG